CCUGAUCCAGCCAUGCCGCGUGUGUGAAGAAGGCUUUCGGGUUGUAAAGCACUUUCAGCGAGGAAGAAAGCCUCUGGGUUAAUACCCCAGAGGAAGGACAUCACUCGCAGAAGAAGCACCGGCUAACUCCGUGCCAGCAGCCGCGGUAAUACGGAGGGUGCGAGCGUUAAUCGGAAUUACUGGGCGUAAAGCGCGCGUAGGUGGCUUGGCACGCCGGUUGUGAAAGCCCCGGGCUCAACCUGGGAACGGCAUCCGGAACGGCCAGGCUAGAGUGCAGGAGAGGAAGGUAGAAUUCCCGGUGUAGCGGUGAAAUGCGUAGAGAUCGGGAGGAAUACCAGUGGCGAAGGCGGCCUUCUGGCCUGACACUGACACUGAGGUGCGAAAGCGUGGGUAGCAAACAGGAUUAGAUACCCUGGUAGUCCACGCCGUAAACGAUGUCGACUAGCCGUUGGGACCUUUAAGGACUUAGUGGCGCAGUUAACGCGAUAAGUCGACCGCCUGGGGAGUACGGCCGCAAGGUUAAAACUCAAAUGAAUUGACGGGGGCCCGCACAAGCGGUGGAGCAUGUGGUUUAAUUCGAUGCAACGCGAAGAACCUUACCUACCCUUGACAU
rnacentral:rRNA from 1 species